rnacentral:rRNA from 1 species
UGAGUGAAGAAGGCCCUCGGGUUGUAAAGCUCUUUUGUCCGGAAAGAAAAGCUUCGGGUUAAUACCCCGGGGUUCCGACGGUACCGGAAGAAUAAGCACCGGCUAACUUCGUGCCAGCAGCCGCGGUAAUACGAAGGGUGCAAGCGUUACUCGGAAUUACUGGGCGUAAAGCGUGCGUAGGUGGUUCGUUAAGUCUGAUGUGAAAGCCCUGGGCUCAACCUGGGAAUUGCAUUGGAUACUGGCGGGCUAGAGUGCGGUAGAGGAUAGUGGAAUUCCUGGUGUAGCAGUGAAAUGCGUAGAGAUCAGGAGGAACAUCCGUGGCGAAGGCGACUGUCUGGACCAGCACUGACACUGAGGCACGAAAGCGUGGGGAGCAAACAGGAUUAGAUACCCUGGUAGUCCACGCCCUAAACGA